GAUGAACGCUGGCGGCGUGCCUAAUACAUGCAAGUCGCGCGGUAAGGCUCCUUCGGGAGUACACGAGCGGCGGACGGGUGAGUAAUACGUAGGAACGUAUCCCAAAGUGAGGAAUAACCAGCCGAAAGGUUGGCUAAUACCGCAUAUGCUCUACGGAGUAAAGCAGCAAUUCGCUUUGGGAACGGCCUGCGUCCGAUUAGCUAGUUGGUAAGGUAAAGGCUUACCAAGGCGACGAUCGGUAGCUGUUCUGAGAGGAUGAUCAGCCACACUGGAACUGAGACACUGUCCAGACUCCUACGGGAGGCAGCAGUAGGGAAUUUUCCACAAUGGGCGAAAGCCUGAUGGAGCAACGCCGCGUGCAGGAUGAAGGCCUUAGGGUUGUAAACUGCUUUUAUCUGUGACGAUUAUGACAGUAGCAGAUGAAUAAGGAUCGGCUAACUCCGUGCCAGCCGCCGCAGUAA
rnacentral:rRNA from 1 species